GACAGAGGGUGCAAACGUUGUUCGGAAUUACUGGGCGUAAAGCGCGUGUAGGCGGCCCUGUAAGUCGGGUGUGAAAUCCCACGGCUCAACCGUGGAAGUGCAUUCGAAACUACAGGGCUAGAGUUCUGGAGAGGAAGGUGGAAUGCUUGGUGUAGAGGUGAAAUUCGUAGAUAUUCGGAAGAACACCAGUGGCGAAGGCGACUCGCUGGACAAGUAUUGACGCUGAGGUGCGAAAGCGUGGGGAGCAAACAGG
rnacentral:rRNA from 1 species